CCAUUAUGCUGUUCAUUCUAAUUCUCUGAUGUUGACUGUCCUCCAUCAUACAUGGAGACACCACUGAUUUCUCCUCUCCUUAAAAAUAGCAAUAGUUUCAAAUUCAGAGAUCUACUUAAGAGAGUCACCCAAAUCAGCUACUUGAGAGGGUGAGGUGGGAGGAACUCCUGAGCUCAGGAGUUCAAGGCUCCAGUGAGCUAUCAUCAUGUCACAGCACUCCAGCCAGGGUGACAGUAAAACUCCAUCUUUGUAAUUUUUUUUUUUAAAGAGUUACUCAAAAUCUACAUUUUGAGACUAUCUAGAUUUUGACAUGUUUCUAGUCAGCACAUUGGAGUGCCAGACAGCCAGCUCCAGAAUAUUAAAGAGAUUCCCCACAACUGGCUGCGUGCAGUGGUUCACGCCUGUAAUCCCAGCACUUUGGGAGGCCAAGGCAGGAGGACUGCUUGAGGUCAGGAGUUUGAGACCAGCCUUGUUAAUAUGGCGAAACUCCAUCUCUACUAAAAAUAAAAAAUCAGCCGGAUGUGGUGGCUACCAAAGCAAUGUCUUCCUGUAAGCAUAUGUCUAGUAGGCAAUUCAAUCUGAUCCUUUCAAAAAUGCAAUAAGGAUUUUUUGUUCUAAGGUUAAACAACCAAAUACUUC
rnacentral:lncRNA from 1 species